rnacentral:rRNA from 1 species
CCUACGGGUGACAGCAGUGAGGAAUAUUGGUCAAUGGACGCAAGCCUGAACCAGCCAAGUCGCGUGCAGGAUGACGGCCCUAUGGGUUGUAAACUGCUUUUGUACGAGGGUAAAGCCCGAUACGUGUACCGGGUUGAAUGUACCGUAUGAAUAAGGAUCGGCUAACUCCGUGCCAGCAGCCGCGGUAAUACGGAGGAUCCGAGCGUUAUCCGGAUUUAUUGGGUUUAAAGGGUGCGUAGGCGGGUUGGUAAGUGAGAGGUGAAAUGUUGGGGCUCAACCCCGAAACUGCCUCUGAUACUGGCAGACUUGAGUAUAGUUGCGGUAGGCGGAAUGUGUGGUGUAGCGGUGAAAUGCGUAGAUAUUAGGAAGAACACCGAUUGCGAAGGCAGCUUACUGGACAGUAACUGACAUUGAUGCUCGAAAGCGUGGGGAUCAAACAGGAUUAGAUACCCCAGUAGUC